rnacentral:rRNA from 1 species
AGGGGGGAAUCUUGGACAAUGGGGGAAACCCUGAUCCAGCGACGCCGCGUGGAGGACGAAGGUCUUCGGAUCGUAAACUCCUUUUGACAGGGAAGAUGAUGACGGUACCUGUCGAAUAAGCCCCGGCUAACUACGUGCCAGCAGCCGCGGUAAGGCGGAGGGGGCUAGCGUUGUUCGGAAUUACUGGGCGUAAAGCGCGCGUAGGCGGCCGGUCAAGUUAGGCGUGAAAGGCCUGGGCUCAACCGUGGGAACGGCGCUUAAGACUGAUCGGCUGGAGUCCGGGAGAGGGUGGUGGAAUUCCCAGUGUAGAGGUGAAAUUCGUAGAUAUUGGGAGGAACACCGGUGGCGAAGGCGGCCACCUGGCCCGGCACUGACGCUGAGGCGCGAAAGCGUGGGGAGCAAACAGGAUUAGAUACCCUGGUAGUCCACGCCGUAAACGAUGAGUGCUAGAUGCUGGGGGGUUUACCCUUCGGUGUCGCAGCUAACGCGUUAAGCACUCCGCCUGGGGAGUACGGCCGCAAGGUUA